AUUUGGAUUCUUUCAAAAUUUCGUUUUCGUAACAGUUUACCGUUGCUGAUUUGAAAGUGUAUUUCUCUUCUCUUACAGUUUUUAACUUCGUUUUUGGUUAAUUUUAGUUUUAGUAAUAGCUAAAUAUUAUUUAUCUUUCUUUAUAAAACGUCGGUGCAUAUUAAAUUUGUAAUAUAUCCCUUACUCGUAGUUUUAGUAUUGUUGAAGUCUUGCAGACCUACAAUUACAAUUAAUUUCGACAAGAUAAUCUCAUUAGUCAUUGGUUAUUUUACCUUAGACACUGGAAUUUGAUAUAUACAAAUUUAUGAAAUGGACUCAGUUCAAGUAGCUGUACGAGUUCGACCUCUAGUGACACAAGAACUUGAGAGUGGCUGUAGGUCAUGCAUAGAUGUGUUGCCUGAGGCCCAACAGAUUAUAACUAAACUAAAACGAGACAAAUUCACAUUUAACCAUGUAUUUGACAGCAAUACACCUCAAGUUGAUGUCUAUGAGAGUGCAAUUCGAAAUUUAGUACAGCAACUGUUUAAAGGAUAUAAUGUGACAGUAUUAGCCUAUGGCCAGACUGGGUCAGGUAAAACAUACAGUAUGGGCACAUGUCCCUCAUCAAACCAGACGGAUUCUGGGAUCAUUCCACGAGCCAUAGCCGAUAUAUUUGAUGUAAUUAACAAUGAUGAUGAAUGGAUUUUCAAAGUGACUGUUUCUUUUUUAGAGUUGUACAAUGAACAGCUGAUCGACCUGUUAUCCAACAAGAGUCAGAGCGCUGUAGUGGAACUGAGGGAGAGCAAUCGAGGCAUCUGCAUCCCCGGACUCACCCAGCUGACAGCCCAGUCUGCAGAUGACAUCUUGCGAUAUCUUCAUGAUGGGUCUUUGAGUAGAACCACAGGGGCCACUGCCAUGAAUGCCCAAUCAUCUAGAAGUCACGCAAUAUUUACCAUCUACAUUCAUCAGGCAAGGAAAAAAAAUGAGGAUGAUGCAAUGUCAGCCAAAUUCCAUUUGGUUGAUCUGGCAGGUUCCGAAAGAUCAAAGAAGACUAAGGCUGAAGGGAAGCGGUUUCAGGAAGGGGUAAACAUCAAUAAGGAACUAUUUGUACUGGGAAAUGUGAUAUCGGCACUGUGUGACAAUGCUCCUUUCGUCAACUACCGGGACAGUAAGCUGACACGACUGUUGCAAGAUUCACUGGGUGGCAACUCCUUGACACUGAUGUUGGCAUGUGUCAGCCCAGCAGACAGUAACCUGGAUGAGACUGUCAACACGCUGCGUUACGCAGACCGUGCUCGUAAGAUCAAGAACAAGCCAGUGGUGAACCAGGACCCCAACAAGGAGGAGAUCAAUAGGUUGAGGAGAGAGAUUGAAGACUUGCAGCUUGCUUUGCUUGCCAAACAAGGUGACAAAUCCUGCCCUCCUGAGCAUCAGGUUCUGUUGGAGAAGAACCAGAUAUUGGCUGAAAAAAAUAAGAAACUGGCAAUAUCUCUUGACAGUGCGCUGACACAAACAACCUCACUUCUUGAACGGGCCCUAAUGGCCGAAGCGGCUCGAGACAAGAUGAAUACAAUUCUCUCCGGGUUAAACGUUGAGUUUGCUAACACUAUGGAGGAAAUGGAAUCCACUCUGAAUGAUGCACAGAAAACUAACAUGCAAGCCCUAAAGACCAAGUUGGAUGAGCUCAAGAAUGAAAAUGAUAAAAGUGAAAUAGAAAGGAUAAAAUAUGAAGAACACUUAUGCGUCACCUCAUUAGAAUCAAGUCCUUGUCCGAAAAAUGAAACAAAACCACAGAGUACUGGAGAAGAUGAUGAAGCUACAGAAGAAUUCCUUUUCCAUCAAGCAAAACUGAACAAAGAAAUACAGGAUCUAAGUAAGGACUUGGCCUGGAAAGAAGCACUUGCUGCAAAGUUAGCUGAAAGCAAUACUAUGGAAGCUUCUAUAAAACAUGGGAACGAAGAGGACAUCGGCGAACUCAAGGCACAGAUCAACUCUUUAAUACAUGAAAAGGAAGAACUAGAACAACAGUUAAAGAAUCAUCGUAACUCCAAUAUUGACCAUAAGCUUGCAGAGCAGAGACGAAAGCGUGUUAAAGAACUUGAAGAGAAGAUUACAGCAUUGAACAAAAAAGUGAUAGAUCAAGAUAGAAUCAUAAAAAUGAAGGAAAAGAAUGAAGAAAAAAUAAAAACCUUGAAUAAAGAGAUAAUGUCUAUGAAGCAGAUGAAAGUACGCCUGAUCAACCAAAUGAAAUCUGAUGGAGAGAAAUAUCGACAAUGGCGAUCCACAAGAGAACAGGAAAUGUGCAAACUUCGCCAGCAAAAUCGGCAGAAAGAAACAAAAUUUGUUAAAAUGGAAACUUACUAUCAGAAACAACAAACCGUUUACAAGCGUAAACUUGAAGAGAGUGCUUCUGUUAUUAGGAGGCUUAAGGACACUCUAGCAUUGCAGAAAAAUGCCAAGGACAAGAGGUCACUCCUGGGUAAUACAGAAAAGGUGAACCAUUGGGUGUCACAAGAAUUUACAGCAAUGGUCAAUACUCUGGAGGCUGAGCGUACUCUAGAUAACUUGAUAGAAGAUCGAAGUCUGCUGGCCAAGGAGCUGGCACAAUUGAAGGAUUCACUUAGAGAGCCUAAUCUACAGGAGGAUGAAAGAAAUAAAAUAGAAUCACAAAUUAAGUCCUUGGACGAGGAUUUAGAACUGAGAAGUACACAAAUAGUAGAUUUGAAACAGAAGCUCCAAAGUUUGGAUAGUUAUCAAGAAAACAAGUCUAAGAACCGUUGGGAUUGUAUUCAGACAAUGGCAGAUGCAAAAAUUGCACUGAAAUACGUAUUUGAAACUGCCAACACAUACCUUACAGAAUUACAUAAAGAUAAAUCAAGCAAAGAGUCUGCAUUGAACGAGCUGCAAGAUUCUUACAAUGCUGUAGUUUCUCAGCUGGCAGAAAAAGAGGAGCUGUUGAAACAAGAAACACUUAAACUUAAAAGAGCUGAAAGUGAUCAUAGUGAUAAGGUAUUUGUGCUUCUGAAUAAACUAAAGGAGCAAGAGAAAGUGUCAAAAGGUUCAACUAUUCCACUUCAAGACCUCAACAAUGUCAAUGAUGAAAAUGCAAAGAAAAUCAUUCAACAGCAACAGCAAAAAAUCGAGGAUUUAGAGAAGCAACUAGAGAAGCGCAAAGGAUCUAAAUCCAAGUCUUCCAAAGCAUCUGAUAACUGGAAUGCUGUGCUUACCCCCAAAACAACAAAACAGUUUUUUGAAGAAUCAGAUGAAGAUUUAGAGAACUUGGAUGAUAGUAUGAAUGACCCAGAUUGGAGAAAUACUCCUAUUUAUCGUAGGCUUCUAAGCUUGAAGUCAGAAUCAAGGGCAAUGCCAGUGAAACGGAACAUUGAUGGACAGCCCUCCUGUGGAUGCCGUGGUGAUUGCAGCACCAGGCUGUGCUCUUGUCGCAAACUAGAGGCACAAUGCUCAGGCAACUGUAGGUGUGAAGAUGAAAGUUGCAAGAAUAAGGUUAAAUCAGCAAAUGAUUCAAACAAAAGUCUGAAGGAUGAAUCACCCAGUAGCGACGGUGAUGUAACUUUCAAGAAGCCAAGGUAAAAUAGUGUACGGGUCUAAUCAGAAGUGAGGUUGUUACAUGUACUCUGCAUUACACUGAAAGACUAAUGCCAGAUCUCAAACCAGCCGUCCGUGAUGUUUCAUCAUCCUAAACACAACUACAUAACAUCCGGAUGAUGUAAAUGGCUGUGAUAUGUUUAUUAUUAUUACUUUUAUUAUUUCAUCGAUGUUCUUUUUGUGUUUUUAGACUAUUUUAUCAUCUAACUAUAUUCUAUUUUAUUAUUCUUUUAAUAUUGCAAUUCAUAAACCAUACUUCCGGUUUAAAAAAUCAAGGAAUGCUGUUAUAACAGCAUUUUACAAUCAAAACAUAUUUUAAACAUUUUUCUUGUGCUCAAUAAAUUAAGUAGGUGUACAUAAUAAAAUGUUUGACUUAUAUUAA